UUGCAAUGAUGUUCUUGAAUUUCUUCACCUGAAGCUCAACAUGUAGAGCAAAAAAACGAGCUUUUUAACCCUGAGCAAC